AGCUUCGGUGGUAUAGGAUUGGCUCGCGCGACAUUAGCCAGAUGGUGAGGUAACGGCUCACCAUAGCAAUGAUGUCUAGGGGUUUUGAGAGGAAGGCCCCCCACACUGGGACUGAGACACGGCCCAGACUCCUACGGGAGGCAGCAGUGAGGAAUAUUGGACAAUGGAUGGAAAUCUGAUCCAGCCAUGCCGCGUGCAGGAAGACGGCCUUAUGGGUUGUAAACUGCUUUUAUACGGGAGCAAUAAGGGUUACGAGUAAUCCGAUGAGAGUACUGUAUGAAUAAGGAUCGGCUAACUCCGUGCCAGCAGCCGCGGUAAUACGGAGGAUCCGAGCGUUAUCCGGAAUUAUUGGGUUUAAAGGGUGCGUAGGCGGCCAUUUAAGUCAGCGGUGAAAUUUUGCAGCUUAACUGUAACAGUGCCGUUGAUACUGUUUGGCUAGGAUUUGGUUGUAGUGUGCGGAAUGUGUGGUGUAGCGGUGAAAUGCUUAGAUAUCACACAGAACACCGAUUGCGAAGGCAGCACACUAAGUCAUUAUUGACGCUGAGGCACGAAAGUGUGGGGAUCAAAAAGGAUUAGAUACCCUGGUAGUCCACACUGUAAACGAUGAUAACUCGCUGUCGGCGAUACACAGUCGGUGGCCAAGCGAAAGCAUUAAGUUAUCCACCUGGGGAGUACGACCGCAAGGUUGAAACUCAAAGGAAUUGACGGGGGCCCGCACAAGCGGAGGAACAUGUGGUUUAAUUCGAUGAUACGCGAGGAACCUUACCCGGGCUCGAACGGUGCAUGAAUAUACGAGAGAUUGUAUAGUCCUUCGGGACAUGUAUCGAGGUGCUGCAUGGUUGUCGUCAGCUCGUGCCGUGAGGUGUCGGCUUAAGUGCCAUAACGAGCGCAACCCUUGUCAUUAGUUGCCAUCAGGUCAAGCUGGGGACUUUAAUGAGACUGCCACCGUAAGGUGUGAGGAAGGGGGGGAUGACGUCAAAUCAGCACGGCCCUUAUGUCCGGGGCGACACACGUGUUACAAUGGGAGGUACAGAGGGCAGCUAUCCGGUGACGGAAUGCUAAUCUCCAAAACCUUUCUCAGUUCGGAUUGGAGUCUGCAACUCGACUCCCUGAAGGUGGAUUCGCUAGUAAUCGCGCAUCAGCCAUGGCGCGGUGAAUACGUUCCCGGGCCUUGUACAAACCGCCCGUCAAG
rnacentral:rRNA from 1 species